rnacentral:rRNA from 1 species
CUUGGUCAUUUAGAGGAAGUAAAAGUCGUAACAAGGUUUCCGUAGGUGAACCUGCGGAAGGAUCAUUAAUGAAUUAACUUGGGGGUUGAUGCUGGCUUUGAUGCAUGUGCUCGCCCCCAUAAUUCUAUCCCAUACACCUGUGCACAUCUUGAAGGUUCGAGGGGAUGUCUCCUCGACCUUCUUCUUACAAACUCUUUACUAAUAAUCGAACGUGAUUGUGCCGAAAGGCCGUAAACUUAUACAACUUUUAACAACGGAUCUCUUGGCUCUCGCAUCGAUGAAGAACGCAGCGAAUUGCGAUAAGUAAUGUGAAUUGCAGAAUUCAGUGAAUCAUCGAAUCUUUGAACGCACCUUGCGCUCCCUGGUAUUCCGGGGAGCACGCCUGUUCGAGUGUCGUGAAAUACCUCAAGCUGGAUGCUUUGUUGCUAUCUUGGCUUGGACUUGGACUUUGCCGCGCAUGACUUUAUGGUUGUGGCGGCUGGUCUUAAAUGCAUUAGCUGACCCAUGAUGUAUCUUUGGUUCUACUCGGCGUGAUAAGUUAUGACCGCUGAGGACAUCUGCUUUUGGGCGGAUGGCCAGGAGUGCCUUGGAUUGCUUCCAAUCUGUCUGUCCUUUGCGGCGACAACCUUUCAACAUUGGCCUCGAAUCAGGUGGGACUACCCGCUGAACUUAAGCAUAUCAAUAAGCGGAGGA